rnacentral:tRNA from 1 species
GCCUGGGUGGCUCAGUUGGUUAAGCAUCUGACUUCGGCUCAGAUCGUGAUCUCGCGGUCCGUGAGUUCAAGCCCCGCGUCGGGCU